rnacentral:rRNA from 1 species
UACGUAGGGCGCAAGCGUUGUCCGGAAUUAUUGGGCGUAAAGAGCUCGUAGGCGGCUUGUCACGUCGGAUGUGAAAGCCCGAGGCUUAACCUCGGGUCUGCAUUCGAUACGGGCUAGCUAGAGUGUGGUAGGGGAGAUCGGAAUUCCUGGUGUAGCGGUGAAAUGCGCAGAUAUCAGGAGGAACACCCGUAGCGAAGGCGGCACUCUGGGCCGAUACUGACACUGAGGAGCGAAAGCGUGGGGAGCGAACAGG